rnacentral:rRNA from 1 species
AGCGAACGCUGGCGGUAGGCCUAACACAUGCAAGUCGAACGGCAGCACAGUACUAUCUUGCUCUUACGGGUGGCGAGUCGCGGACGGGUCACGAAUAUAUCCUACUCUUCUUUUUCGUGUGGCUUAACGUAGGUAAACUUACUCUAAUACCGCAUAUCCUCUUCCGGUGAAAGCAUUGGAUCUUUUCACCUUUUGCGGUUGAAUUCGCCGAUGUCGGAUUAGCUGGUUGGCGGGGUAAAGGCCCACCAAGGCGACGAUACGUGGCUGGUGUGAGAGUAUGAUCAGCCACACUGGAAGUGAGACACGGUCCAGACUCCUACGGGAGGCAGCAGUGGGGAAUAUUGGACAAUGGGCGCAAGCAUGAUCCAGCCAUACCGCGUGGGUGAAGAAGGCGUUGGGGUUGUAAAGCCCUUUUGUUGGGAAAGAAAAGCAGCAGGUUAAUACCCAGCUGUUCUGACGGUAACGAAAGAAUAAGCACCGGCUAACUUCGUG